rnacentral:lncRNA from 1 species
ACAAAUUCAAAAGACCUGACAGUAUUUACACAUUAUUUAAUGUUCCAUUUAACAUUUUAAAAUUUAAAAUCUUCUCUUUCAGAAAUCCAACCGCAACAAGGUAUAGCAUCAUCAUAUAUAAGAAGAAUCUGGUAGUACUCAUGGGGAGGCCAAAUCUCCUGCUGAUCUCUCCACAACUUGACUCAUCACUAUCACAUUUAAGACAGACUACUUUGAGAUCAUCUACCAUCCUCACCACUUUAUAGAAAGAAAGCCCAGAGAAGUCAGAGUUCAAGGUGAUAUGUAGUGAAAUUAAGAAGGGUCAAUGCAGUUGCCUUCUUACUAGUUCUUGUCCCAGGCAGAUACUAUGUUCUUAUUCAUUUUUAUGUUCCUUCAUUAUGUCUACCAUGAUGUAGUAAGUACUAAAUAAUUGUUUAUUAAAUCAAUGAAUUGAAAGAAAAUAAGCUCUUUUGUUUUUUAGUGGUAAGAUGUAUUAGUAGAUGUCUCUAGUGAUUGCAGUAUUGAAA